GCGUGUGCUACCACACCCAGCUACUCCCAACUUUAUUUCCACGCUGAAUUCCAGCACUGAACCUUCGAUCCCCAGAUCCGAGCCUCCGCGGUUCCCAGCGCUGCCCGGACCUGCCCGCCAUCGACACUCGCACUCGCGCCCUGGGUCCAGACACCCCGAGUUCGCAGUCCCCUCCAAAACUCGGCCCCGCUCCCCUCCCGGACCUGCUCCUGUCCCAACGUCGGGUCCCCUCUGCGCCCCGGGAUGGGGAUCUCGGGGCUCCCCCGCUGAGUCCGAGAGAAGGGCUCUGGGAUGGGGAGAGGGCAGAGAAGCGGGGCGCGGCCCGGGCGCGGUGACCUGCAGAGCCCCCCCCCCCCAACUUAGCCGCGUGAUGCGCGGCCCGGCGAUCGCUUUGGGCCGGGGACUUGGGGGACCGGGGUGGUGGGGCGGCUCCGGCCUCUAUUUAUAGCGCCCGGAGCCUGAAAUAGAGCGGAGACCGGCGGCCGGGAUGACGCGGGCGCCGCCGGGGCUGACUCACCCAGCCCGGGCCCCCGGAUGGGGACAGUGCGGGCGCCCGGUCGCGACCCUACAACCCCUGGCACCUGCGCUGCGGGGACCCCAGGCUCCAUGGGGCAGGCCAGUGACUCGCAGCAGAGUCUGCAGCAGGCGGAUCGGAGGUGGCCGGCCACCAGCAGCGCAGGGAACGAAACAAGAAGCUUGAAGGCUGGGAAGGAAAGCAGAGGGACCAGACGUGCGCUCCUCUUGUCACCGGGGCCCCACACCAACCCGGCGGUGGCUUUGCAGAGCUGCGCGCGGGCCUGGCCCGAGAAAGCCUGUCCCCAACUUCCCAGCCAGCGGGGAAUCGCGUCGCAGCGCGCCACUCCUCAGGAGAAACGCACUGCAUGACUAGAGUGUUGUGCAGCCCAGGUGACAUUGCAGCAGACAGAACCCAGAUGCAGCUGUAAGGACCCAGCUGUCUUCGGUGUGGCCUGGCAUGGAAGUGGCUUACACAGAAACACUGGGAGAAACUCGGCUCUGAGCCUCAUUCCUUAACCUUCACAUCAGCCCCCUUCCUUCCCGAUGGUGCAGCAUCAUCCUGCCACUGCCCCUCACCGGGACCCCUCGGCUCACUCCGUGAGGCCCCUGAUCCAUGCUCUCGACCUGGCACCCAGCCUUUAGAGCUCUUCAGCUGGAACUCCGACCGGUCUCCAGACAGAACAGUGUGAGGCACACCCCGGCACACAGCUACAUCUCCAGCCCCUUUUAAAAAUUUAUUUUCUUGAAUUCUGACACAGGGUAUUGCCAAGUCACUAAAUUGUCCAAGUUGGGCACAAACUAGCAAUCCUCUUGCCUCAGCCUCCCGGGGUGCUGGGAUUACAGGUGUGCACUACCCUGCCGGGCUAUAGCCCAUGGUGCUUUGGUACAGCCACCUAAUCAGCCUGCAGUGACUGUGCAGAGGGCUUCAGAGCCCGGGGAGCAGGCAGAGAAGGAGAAGAAAGGAAGGAAGGAAAGAAAGAAAGAAAGAAAGAAAGAAAGAAAGAAAGAAAGAAAGAAAGAAAGAAAGAAAGAAAGAAAGAAAGAAAG